AAGCCAUGCAUGUCUAAGUAUAAGCAAACUAUACGGUGAAACUGCGAAUGGCUCAUUAAAUCAGUAAUCGUUUAUUUGAUAGUACCUUACUACAUGGUUACCUGUGGUAAUUCUAGAGCUAAUACAUGCUGAAAACCUCGACUUCGGAAGGGGUGUAUUUAUUAGAUAAAAAACCAAUGCCCUUCGGGGCUCCUUGGUGAUUCAUAAUAACUUAACGAAUCGCAUGGCCUUGCGCCGGCGAUGGUUCAUUCAAAUUUCUGCCCUAUCAACUUUCGAUGGUAGGAUAGUGGCCUACCAUGGUGGCAACGGGUAACGGGGAAUUAGGGUUCGAUUCCGGAGAGGGAGCCUGAGAAACGGCUACCACAUCCAAGGAAGGCAGCAGGCGCGCAAAUUACCCAAUCCCGAUACGGGGAGGUAGUGACAAUAAAUACUGAUACGGGGCUCUUUUGGGUCUCGUAAUUGGAAUGAGUACAAUCUAAAUCCCUUAACGAGGAACAAUUGGAGGGCAAGUCUGGUGCCAGCAGCCGCGGUAAUUCCAGCUCCAAUAGCGUAUAUUAAAGUUGUUGCAGUUAAAAAGCUCGUAGUUGAACCUUGGGUCUGGCUGGCCGGUCCACCUCACCGCGAGAACUGGUCCGGCUGGACCUUUCCUUCUGGGGAACCCCAUGGCCUUCACUGGCUGUGGGGGGAACCAGGACUUUUACUGUGAAAAAAUUAGAGUGUUCAAAGCAGCCUUUGCUCGAAUACAUUAGCAUGGAAUAAUAGAAUAGGACGUGCGGUUCUAUUUUGUUGGUUUCUAGGACCGCCGUAAUGAUUAAUAGGGAUAGUCGGGGGCGUCAGUAUUCAGCUGUCAGAGGUGAAAUUCUUGGAUUUGCUGAGACCACUACUGCGAAAGCAUCGCCAGAUGUUUCAUAUCAGGACGAAGUAAGGGGAUCGAGACGAUCAGAUACGUCGUAGUCUACAUAACUAUGCGACUAGGGAUCGGA
rnacentral:rRNA from 1 species